AGAGUUUGAUCAUGGCUCAGAUUGAACGCUGGCGGCAGGCCUAACACAUGCAAGUCGAACGGUAACAGGAAACAGCUUGCUGUUUCGCUGACGAGUGGCGGACGGGUGAGUAAUGUCUGGGAAACUGCCUGAUGGAGGGGGAUAACUACUGGAAACGGUAGCUAAUACCGCAUAACGUCGCAAGACCAAAGAGGGGGACCCUCGGGCCUCUUGCCAUCGGAUGUGCCCAGAUGGGAUUAGCUUGUUGGUGGGGUAACGGCUCACCAAGGCGACGAUCCCUAGCUGGUCUGAGAGGAUGACCAGCCACACUGGAACUGAGACACGGUCCAGACUCCUACGGGAGGCAGCAGUGGGGGAAUAUUGCACAAUGGGCGCAAGCCUGAUGCAGCCAUGCCGCGUGUAUGAAGAAGGCCUUCGGGUUGUAAAGUACUUUCAGCGGGGAGGAAGGGAGUAAAGUUAAUACCUUUGCUCAUUGACGUUACCCGCAGAAGAAGCACCGGCUAACUCCGUGCCAGCAGCCGCGGUAAUACGGAGGGUGCAAGCGUUAAUCGGAAUUACUGGGCGUAAAGCGCACGCAGGCGGUUUGUUAAGUCAGAUGUGAAAUCCCCGGGCUCAACCUGGGAACUGCAUCUGAUACUGGCAAGCUUGAGUCUCGUAGAGGGGGGGUAGAAUUCCAGGUGUAGCGGUGAAAUGCGUAGAGAUCUGGAGGAAUACCGAUGGCGAAGGCGGCCCCCUGGACGAAGACUGACGCUCAGGUGCGAAAGCGUGGGGAGCAAACAGGAUUAGAUACCCUGGUAGUCCACGCCGUAAACGAUGUCGACUUGGAGGUUGUGCCCUUGAGGCGUGGCUUCCGGAGCUAACGCGUUAAGUCGACCGCCUGGGGAGUACGGCCGCAAGGUUAAAACUCAAAUGAAUUGACGGGGGCCCGCACAAGCGGUGGAGCAUGUGGUUUAAUUCGAUGCAACGCGAAGAACCUUACCUGGUCUUGACAUCCACGGAAGUUUUCAGAGAUGAGAAUGUGCCUUCGGGAACCGUGAGACAGGUGCUGCAUGGCUGUCGUCAGCUCGUGUUGUGAAAUGUUGGGUUAAGUCCCGCAACGAGCGCAACCCUUAUCCUUUGUUGCCAGCGGUCCGGCCGGGAACUCAAAGGAGACUGCCAGUGAUAAACUGGAGGAAGGUGGGGAUGACGUCAAGUCAUCAUGGCCCUUACGACCAGGGCUACACACGUGCUACAAUGGCGCAUACAAAGAGAAGCGACCUCGCGAGAGCAAGCGGACCUCAUAAAGUGCGUCGUAGUCCGGAUUGGAGUCUGCAACUCGACUCCAUGAAGUCGGAAUCGCUAGUAAUCGUGGAUCAGAAUGCCACGGUGAAUACGUUCCCGGGCCUUGUACACACCGCCCGUCACACCAUGGGAGUGGGUUGCAAAAGAAGUAGGUAGCUUAACCUUCGGGAGGGCGCUUACCACUUUGUGAUUCAUGACUGGGGUGAAGUCGUAACAAGGUAACCGUAGGGGAACCUGCGGUUGGAUCACCU
rnacentral:rRNA from 1 species